UGAGAAGUGUAUGACGGAAGGUGAUUGC
rnacentral:piRNA from 1 species